UGCAUUGCGCGGUACUUCGAAAUCGUGGAAAUAUAUAUAUAAAUCUUAAAAUCUUUUACUUUUUAACACACUCUUACUUCUUAAUUUCAUAAUUUAAUUUUCUCUAAUAACAAAUUGCCUAAAAUCCAACAGUAGAAUCAUACACUGAUGUUCGUAGUUUUAGGUUAACAUGGAUUAAACAAAAUCUACACAUAAUGCAUUUGAAAAGUAGCAAAAAUAAAUUAUGAAGGCAAGGCAGAGUGAAAAGUUCACGUUGUUUUUUUUUUGUGUUUUUUUUUAUGAAAGAGUGAUAUUUUUGAUUAAUAUCAACAUUGGAUCACUAGUGUGGGGUAGCAUGUUCCUCUUGAAGGAUGAGACAGUCUGGUAAAUAAAUGCACGUGUGUUGAUUGGACAUCAGCGGGAACAUCCUCUUAAAUGACAAGAACUUAAACCAAUGAGAAACACGGAUCGCCGCCAGCGCUGUUUGUUAUGUUUUGAGGUAAAUUGUACUAUAAGAGAACAACCUUUAAUACUAAUAAACGUUAAAAUACACGAAUGAAAUAUCGUUUUCUAUAUCCUAAUUUUUAGAUAAAUGUAUAUAUUUUUUAAUCUAAACAGCAGUUGUGCGUUUGAGUUGACAUGCACAUUAGUCCCGCCCAAGUGAGCCAACGAGCCAAUAAGAAACACCGUUAGGCUGACGUCUGCGCAUGCUAGAAGAAGUAGGCAGGAAGUUCAUCACGCAGUGAACGCAUCUGUCUGGGCUCACGCGACACUGGUAUUAGAACUUAAAACCAGCAUAAAAACAAUGAUCGCGUUGAAGUGCUAUCUCUCUCUUCCAGUGGUGGCAGGGGCAUUAUUAGUGGGCCUCCCUUACAGUGUCUCUCUUGUUGCCCAGUGGCUUUAUGGCUGGCCCAAUAAACCAGGGUACCAAAAAUAUAUAGAGGCUCUCAAACCAAGGCGCAUAUACUGCCUUACAAGAGCCGUGCUAGAGAUGCUGAAAUAUCUGCAGUAUGGCAAACUGUACUUUCAGUGGAAACUGUGGUACAGUAAUGACAAAAAUAACAAGCACUAUGUGAAAGGCAUAACCUUUGGUCGGCGAGGGAACAAACUAGAUUUAUACUAUUCACCAAACAUGGGCCAUUCUGAUGCUGCUCCUGUACCAGUGGUUGUAUUUGUGUACGGAGGUGCCUGGGGGUCAGGAGACCGCUCCAUUUACUGUCUGUUAGCAUUACAAAUGGCAAAAGAGCUUAAUGCCUCUGUAAUUUGUCCAGAUUAUUCCAUAUAUCCAAAGGACAACGUAAUAUUAAUAGGUCAUUCAGCAGGGGCUCAUCUGUGUGCCCUUACCACGCUGUUUCUGGUGAACAAUGCAGAAGAACUGUUCCUUAAGACCAACGAACAGAGAGAUCUCGUAUCUGCCAUUAAAGGAAUCAUCGGUCUGAGUGGCGUUUACAGUAUAAUGGAUCAUUAUAAGCAUGAGAAAAUGAGGGCUGUUGAAUAUGUGUCAACUAUGCACAAAGCUAUGGAUGGUGUGGAGAACUUUGAUUAUUAUUCGCCGUCAUCGUUACUCAAGAAACUGAAUGAGGAUCAGUUGAAAAGAGUUCCUCCAGUGGUUUUGCUCCAUGGAACCAAUGACAUCAUAGUUCCUGUGCAAUCAUCAGUGAAGUUCUCCGAGCUCCUCACCGCUCUUUCUAUCAGGAUGUCUCUCUAUCUCAUACCUAAAAUGAACCACACAGAGAUGGUCACUGACCUUAUGGCUCCAGACAGGCACUUUUACCACACUGUUUAUGGCUGUAUUAAACAGGAGUACAGUAAAUUUCAAGGUUAUGUUGAUUAAUAUUUAUCAUCCAAUUCAGUACUAAUAUCAUUUUCCAGUAUGCCAGACAGUGAUUACAUGUUAUUUAUGAUUUACUGUAAGUUUACAUUUAAAGGGGUGGUUAACAGUUUUUUUUCUAGGCUUGAUUGUGUUUAUGGGGUGCAGUUUAACAUGUGUUCAUGCUUUGUUCAUCAACUUUGCAGAUAUUGUUUAUGCUCAAACAGCAACAUUGUACACUAACUAACGUUAAAAACGUGAAAUCGCAAUCAACCACCUCUUUAAGUUCUAAUGAUUUGUGUUCUUCUGAAAUGUUUAAUUUUCAAUCAAAAAUGUGUUCAAUAACCAUUUAUACAAGACGGCAAGGUGAAAGAAAAUAUUAUCCCUGUGUUUGUUAUCUGUUAAUACAUUCUGUUAAUGUUCAAUGAAAUGUAAAUAAGAAGAAAUCGUUCCAAUUAAGACAGAAAUAUACAAAUAUACAACAUAUUUUCGUGUUUGAAAUGUAAUACGGAUGGAGAAAUUCUUAUUUUGCAUUUUUAUAACUUGUGUAAAAUCUUCCAUAAUAUAUUUAUUCAAGCCAUACAUAAAUGUUUCUCUUUGUGUCCUAAUUACAGAAUUAGUCACUUGGCUAUUGAAGUUCUUCUGUUUGUUACAUAUUCACAGUUCAUACCAUAUAUUACAUUAAAUAACAUAAGCUUCAGCUGUGCAUGCUAUAGAAAUAUUAUUGAUUAAUGUUUGCUUUUGUCAUUAUUAGAAUAGAAUGUUAAUACAAAGAACACAUUAAUGUGAAUAUUUAGGUGUUGACCUUGAACCAUUGAAUAUUUUGCCUCAUAAGUAAACUGCUUUAUGUUGGGGGCAUAUGCUUAAAACAUUUAUCUUAGAAAUAUAAUUGAGUUGAAAUGGAAAAAAAAUAGCACACAAAGGCAAAGCACAGGUAUGAUCUAUUACUGAGAAACGUAUUGAAUAUACAUGCAUAAUAAGUCAAUACAUUCAUAUAUUCAUUGGACUGAAACUGUAACUAACGUCCACAUCAGCAUCAUGUAAAAUUGGCAUCCCUUUCUUCUUUUACAUUAAAUACACUAUAAAUACUGCCAGAUUGACUUUCUAUUAUUAUUUCCUUGCUGAGCAGAGACAAAAACGACCCUCCAAAUGAAACGGGCAAAUGCGUCGUAAUGGCCAGCAGGUGUCGCUGUUUCCCGUGUAAUCGAAGUACUACAGCGAGCCCUGUGAGGCAGCGUCUCCCACACCGCUGAGAUGAAGCAGAGCUGGAGCUGGGACGAGCUCGAGCCUGUGUUGUUUGGGAUGUCGAGGAUUAAAUAUGGCCACUAGCUAGCUGAUCUAACAGAACUAGUAUCCGCUUCACAAAGCUCUGGCAUCACCCGUUAAAAAUGGCUGGGAAGAGCGCAGGAAGAUCUCUUUAGAGCGGCUCCCAGUGAAGCUUGAAGACGUCGGCUGGUCUGGUGAGUUCUCAUGGAUUUGCGGAUACACUGGAGACAUGCAAAACACAUACACAUUGCCCACUGGCGCUAGCUUCCUUCCUUCAAAAUACAGCUCCCUCUCCCCGGUUUUACGUCUCUCUAGAAAUGUCAAGAUGUUAUUCGGUUUAUAGAAAUGAUAUUCUAAGCAGUCGAGUUUAGUGAAAAGGAAACGCUCAGCUCGGCGUGUGUUGGUUGUGUAGCCGGGGCUAGCUGUGGCGAGGACUCCGCUAGCCUGUUAGCUGCAGGAGAAUAAUCACUGAUGGGCAGACAAUUCACAAAUACGAUCCUUUAUUAUCACAGACCUCGAGUUAACCAUAUGCGUGAUUAUCGUUACUUAUUUCGAGAUUAUUUAGGCGAUGUCUGGUGAGCUGUAACGUUAAUUGUCUUGUAAGAUCGCACUGUCACUGAAGAUAUCGCUAUUGAAUUUAUUAGUGGUUCCUGUCAAUAAAUAAAUAAUAAAUAUAAUAAUUCUGAGUAGU
ensembl:lncRNA